CCACGCUGAAUGCCGAUAUUAAGGACAUGAGCAAACCAUGGGACAUGUCUCCAAUUAUUUUUCUUUACAGCACCAACUAUAUUUGCAGCAUUAUCUGUGACAACUGCUGAUAUUUUAAGUUCAAUAUUCCAUGCUUCAACAGUAGUCAUCAAAAACUUGGCAAGUUCAACUGACGUACUUUGCUCAUUAUAGUUGGUGCAACCAAUUAGUCUAGAACACAAUUUAGUCUCAGAAUUUAAAAAAUGGACGGUCAAGGCUAUAUAAUGUUGGUUGUUGAUGGAUGUCCAACCAUCUGUGGUCAAAGAAAGGUACAAUGUAAUUUGGUGCAAGCAUCUUAAUCAGAUUACGGAAUUCUGUUUCUUCUACCAAUGAAAAAGUAUGAAAAUGUUUGACGAUAAAUUUAGUGAUCUGUAGAUUUGAUGCUGAUGAUCCUGCUGCUUCAGAAACUACUCUCGACGAACCUAUACUCACAGAGGCACUUGUAGAUGCUGGCACGUCGGGGUCGGAUGGGUCAUCAAUGUUGUCAUCAUUUACCAGCAGUGGUCUUUUAAGUGGCACAGUUACAUGUUUAGUUUUUAGAUGGCGCAUAAGGUUACUAGUUUACCCACCACUAUAACUAACACCUUCCUUACAAUAAGAACAUUUAGCAAUAGUAAGGGACUCAACACUAAAAUGAUUCCAUGCUGCACUUCUCUUGCGGUUUAAAUUUGGCAUCUAUAAUUUUUUUUGUAUUAUAUAAUUUUGUUUUAAUUUAUACACAUUUUAAAAAUUAACAAGAUUUGUGAGUUAUGACUUAUUGUAUCAAAAUAUAUGUGUUUAAAUUGUA